AACGCACCUUGCGCUCCUUGGUAUUCCGAGGAGCAUGCCUGUUUGAGUGUCAUUAAAUUCUCAACCUCACCAGUUUUGUAACGAGACUGUGUAAGGCUUGGAUGUGGGGGUUUUUGCAGGCUGCCUCUGUGCGGUCUGCUCCCCUGAAAUGCAUUAGCGAGUUCACUAAGCUCCGUCUAUUGGUGUGAUAAUUAUCUACGCCGUGGAAUGGGUUUAGACUUGCUUCUAACCGUCUGCAAAGACAAUUUUUGACAAUUUGACCUCAAAUCAGGUAGGACUACCCGCUGAACUUAA
rnacentral:misc_RNA from 1 species